UUUGCGCGUUCUACAUGGUCAGUCAUCCAAAUAACGUCAAAUUUGUAUCCGCCCACAAGUGUUGCCAAUAUUUUUGGUCAUUGGUUGGACGGUAUUUCAAAUAGGUUCAAAACGCUAAUAAGGGUGGGAGCGUACGCCUUACUAUGGUCGCUUUGGCUAUGUAGAAACGCUUUGGUUUUUAAUGACAAAAAUGCUUCUCCUUUGCAGGUUAUUUUCCGUUGUACGCACUCGCUUCGUAUGUGGUCUAUACUACAACGUGCGGAGUACCAACCGCUAUUCAAGGCGGUGUGUACGCGAUUGGAGCAGGUGGCUAUGGAGUUUUUUACCCAACAUGGGUGGCAGCAUAAUCUCCGCAUCGGUCCACCAACCGUUUCGACAUAG
rnacentral:rRNA from 1 species